GUGCUCGCUUCAGCAGCACAUAUACUAAAACUGGAACCAUACAGAGAGAUUAGCAUGGCCCCUGCACAAGGAUGGCAUGCAAAUUUGUGAAGCACUCCAUUAUUUU
ensembl:snRNA U6 U6 spliceosomal RNA